rnacentral:rRNA from 1 species
CCCUUAGAUGUUCUGGGCCGCACGCGUGCUACACUGAGUGGAUCAGCGGGUCAGGUUGCGCGAAAGCGUUUCCUAAUCUUUAGAUCCGCUCGUGAUGGGGAUUGACGGUUGCAAUUUUCUGUCAUGAACGAGGAAUACCUUGUAAGCGCGGGUCAUCAUCCCGCGCUGAAUACGUCCCUGCCCUUUGUACACACCGCCCGUCGCUCCUACCGAUUGAGUGGUCCGGUGAGGCUUUGGGAUCUGAGCGGAAAGAGCGUUUCGCUGUUUCUGCUCGGAAAACUCAGUCGAACCUUAUCAUUUAGAGGAAGGAGAAGUCGUAACA